rnacentral:rRNA from 1 species
UUCUGCCCUAUCAACUUUCGAUGGUAGGAUAGUGGCCUACCAUGGUGGCAACGGGUAACGGGGAAUUAGGGUUCGAUUCCGGAGAGGGAGCCUGAGAAACGGCUACCACAUCCAAGGAAGGCAGCAGGCGCGCAAAUUACCCAAUCCCGACACGGGGAGGUAGUGACAAUAAAUACUGAUACGGGGCUCUUUUGGGUCUCGUAAUUGGAAUGAGUACAAUCUAAAUCCCUAACGAGAUCAAUAGAAGGUG